AUAUCAAAAGGACCAAAACCUGAGCAGGUGGGCAGGUCUACUCCAGGGUCCUGGGCAAGCUCCAAGCCGCACCAAUCACCAAAAGGAAAAGAACGAAACUGUGACCCCGACGCGUGAUCUGAGCCUUUAGCCCUACCAAGCCACCGUCCACCUGCAGUAUUUUCAUUAAUCACUUUUUUAUUUUAUAUAUAUAUUAACCUUUUAGCGUCUCUAGGACUAGAAGUUCUUCCAAAUCCCAGUUUCAGCACGACGCAUUUCCUAAUUUUCUCUGUGACAUACAAAAAUGGCAAAUGGGGGUGCUAAUACAGCAGAUUUGGGAGAAAAUGAAAAUGACAAUAUCAGCAAUUGGAGCAUCUCCAAACUGAUUUCUUCCCUCAAAUCGGCUUUUCGUCCCACGGUUUUCGCAAAAGUGGAGGCUGUCCUAGUGGCGAGGGAAGACAAAUCAAAGCGGGAGAUCGAGGCACUGAAACAGGAAAAGGAUUUGUUUUUCUACAAAUCCGAAGAAGAGAGAUUGGAGAAAAUGAGUUUCGAAAACGAACUCAAUAAGUGCAAGAAAGAGUGCGAGGAUAUGAGGAAUGCGGUGUCUAAGUUACGGGAAGAGAACAUGGUAUUAAGGAAGAGAGAGAAGAGUGCAGAGGAAAGAUGCAAGAAGUUGUUACAGGAAAUGAAGAGAAUCGGAGAGAAAGACAAGGAAAUGAUUGAUUUAAGGAGCAGGAAUUGCGAGCUUGAAUGUGAGAAAGCGAAGGCUGAAAAUGAGAUGGAAAUAUUGAGGAAGAGAUUUGAGGAGUUGGAUAAGAAGGUAUCGAGUUUGGAGAGUGAUUUACGGUUUUUGAGUAAUCAAGAAGAUUUGAAGGAAAAUGGGGUUGGGGAAGAAAACAGGAACUCGAAAAACGUGGGGUUAAAAUUUGAUGUGAAGGUGGAAGAAGUCUCUUUUGGUCCAAGUUGUGAUUCUCCUGUCAAAGCUAAUGGGAAUUCACAAAAUCCAGGGAGUGAGAGAACUCCAUCUCAAAGCAUUAUUCAGAUUGUUGAUAGUGAUGAUGAAUGUGCACCAGUAGAAACUCUGAGUGAAAAAGGAACGACUUUGGUAUGUCCUGCUGACAACUCACAUACUGAUCAGAUUGGUGUAGAAAAUGGGAGUCCAACUCUCAAAAGAAAACGAACUUCAUUUAUAAUUAUAGGUGAGAAUGAAAAUGGCGAUAAUGAUGAUAACUCAUUGACUGGAUCGGUAAAGAUGAAAAAAUGUGAAGAGCCAGUUUGCAAGCCUGAUGGUUGUCCUCUUUAUCCUUGCUCAACAACAACUAUUACUUCUGAUAGUAACGAGGUUAACAAAGGUUUUAGCACACCAAGGGAGGAUUUCAUGGUUUUAAGACAAUGCGAACAGCAAAUGGAGUCUGAGCAGAAGUCUCAGAAUCUUAUGAGUGGGUUUCCUUUGGAUGGGCUUGGUUUCAUGGAGGAGAGUUCCUGUUCCUCCGACUCUGACUCUGAUGAUGACAGUGAUGGUGUGCAUAUUUUCUUUAACAAUUCUCAGCCUGCACCAGAGGCUCAGAGGGAAAACGGAAAUUAGCCAGAGGAAUUGGAUGGCUACUUUCUGUUUUAGAUGGGAAAAACCAAAAAACCCCUUUGUCAAAUUGUGCCAAUUGACGAUUUAUCUUUGAUGUGCGCAGGGGUAUUACUCUGGCCAAGAUUCUCAUAGACGGGGAUCCAGAGGGAAGCCGAAGAAAUAUGUCAGGGAAUUACUGGAGUUACGAUUAAGAGGUCUUGAUCAUAAUAAAGAACUAGCCAGUCAGCACUGCAAUCAAUUAUUUGAGAUAGACCCCUGGAAAAAGGAUCCUUUUGGUUAUAAUUGUAGACUGUACGCACCAAUAUUGUUCUUACCAGAAGUUGUUACUGAUAUGGCGACAGCAAACUGCCGAAGAGGAUAGGGCUUUUUAUUUUGUGUAUUUCUCCCUUCUUUUUAACAAGUCUGAGACCUUCUCCUCAGGUCUGACUGUAGAUAGUCACAUGUUUUAGAAGACCCAAGCAACAUUGUUUUAUAUCUGCUAUUCUGCUGGUAUAUCUACAUGCGUUCUCUUUCCCGUAUCUUCAGUGUAGAAUUAAGCAGGUGUCUGCAAUUUUGGGCAAAAGAGCAGGAUAGGCCUUGCCUUUCACUUUUCCCCUUUAGAUUUUUUGCUCUUGACUAGGAGAUUGACGGGGAGGUGGGUGGUUAGUGCCCAUCUUAAAUACCCAAGAAAAGGAAAGAUGGUCUAUGACAGUAUUUACUUGAUGCUUGCAUCUUGCAAAUCUUUGAGAUGCCUAAUAAAUACAGCAGCAUGUAAACAUUGAAAUUUAUUCCUUCA